rfam:Arthrobacter sp. 7749 genome.
CGGCUCGGCCUGAAGGGCCGUGGCUGAUGGGGCAGAAGUCAGCAGAGGUCAUAGUACUCACCGGGAUACGUUCUUGGGUCAGAUGAUGAUGCCAAGGAUGCCCAGUAGUUGGGGGUGGGGAAGGGC